CCUACGGGUGGCAGCAGUGAGGAAUAUUGGUCAAUGGGCGCGAGCCUGAACCAGCCAAGUCGCGUGAGGGAAGACGGUCCUAUGGAUUGUAAACCUCUUUUGUCGGGGAGCAAAAGACGCCACGCGUGGCGUUCCGAGAGUACCCGAAGAAAAAGCAUCAGCUAACUCCGUGCCAGCAGCCGCGGUAAUACGGGGGAUGCGAGCGUUAUCCGGUUUUAUUGGGUUUAAAGGGUGGGCAGGCGGAAGAUCAAGUCAGCGGGAAAAUUGAUAGGCUCAACCUCUUCGAGCCGUUGAAACUGGGUUUCUUGAGUGAGUGAGAAGUAUGCGGAAUGCGUGGUGUAGCGGUGAAAUGCAUAGAUAUCACGCAGAACUCCGAUUGCGAAGGCAGCAUACCGGCGCUCAACUGACGCUCAUGCACGAAAGUGUGGGUAUCGAACAGGAUUAGAUACCCCAGUAGUC
rnacentral:rRNA from 1 species